UACGAAGGGGGCUAGCGUUGCUCGGAAUCACUGGGCGUAAAGCGCACGUAGGCGGGUUCUUAAGUCAGGGGUGAAAUCCUGGAGCUCAACUCCAGAACUGCCUUUGAUACUGGGAAUCUCGAGUCCGGGAGAGGUGAGUGGAACUGCGAGUGUAGAGGUGAAAUUCGUAGAUAUUCGCAAGAACACCAGUGGCGAAGGCGGCCGACUGGUCCGGUUCUGACGCUGAGGCGCGAAAGCGUGGGGAGCAAACAGG
rnacentral:rRNA from 1 species